AAAAGAAGAAUCGAAACACAAUAGGACCAGAUCUGUACUUGUGAGAAAGCUCGCUCCGCUGCCUUCCCGCUUCCUCGCUCACACAUACACACUGUAGCUGAAAACACGUGCUUGAUUUUUUUUCUUUUUUUUUUUUUUAACCAGACAAGCCUGGGUUUGAAUCCUGUCAGGCCGCAGGAGCUUGGACAAGCUCUGAGAGGCUUACAAUGGCAGAAGAUGGAUGGAGAAGAUUAGCCCUGAGCUAACAUCUGCUGCCAAUCCUGCUGUUUUUGCUGAGGAAGACUGGCCCUGAGCUAACAUCCGUGCCCAUCUUCCUCUACUUUAUAUGUGGGAUGCCUACCACAGCAUGGC
rnacentral:lncRNA from 1 species